UGCCGACCGGGUUUCUGCGUUAAGUUCGGCAUCAAAACGGUGACCUGGGAGUAGAGGGGCCACCAGGUUGCCUAAGGAUGGGUGAACUGGCCCAAGUCAGAAAUGAAGCAGGUCAGAACUCCCCUGCCGGGCAGUAGUGGAACUGAGCUUAGGCA
rfam:Pan troglodytes isolate Yerkes chimp pedigree #C0471 (Clint) chromosome 19, whole genome shotgun sequence.